AAAGAAACUAACAAGGAUUCCCCUAGUAACUGCGAGUGAAGCGGGAAAAGCUCAAAUUUAAAAUCUGGCGGUCUUUGGCCGUCCGAGUUGUAGUCUGGAGAAGUGCUUUCCGCGCUGGACCGUGUAUAAGUCUCUUGGAACAGAGCGUCAUAGAGGGUGAGAAUCCCGUCUUUGACACGGACUACCAGUGCUUUGUGAUGCGCUCUCAAAGAGUCGAGUUGUUUGGGAAUGCAGCUCAAAAUGGGUGGUGAAUUCCAUCUAAAGCUAAAUAUUGGCGAGAGACCGAUAGCGAACAAGUACCGUGAGGGAAAGAUGAAAAGCACUUUGGAAAGAGAGUUAAACAGUACGUGAAAUUGCUGAAAGGGAAACGCUUGAAGUCAGUCGCGUUGUCCGGAACUCAGCCUUGCUUUUGCUUGGUGCACUUUCCGGAUGACGGGUCAGCAUCGAUUUUGACCGUCGGAAAAGGGCUGGAGUAAUGUGGCACCUCCGGGUGUGUUAUAGACUCUGGUCGCAUACGACGGUUGGGAUCGAGGAACGCAGCGCGCCGCAAGGCAGGGGUUCGCCCACUUUCGCGCUUAGGAUGCUGGCAUAAUGGCUUUAAACGACCCGUCUUGAAACACGGACCAAGGAGUCUAACAUACCUGCGAGUGUUUGGGUGGAAAACCCGAGCGCGUAAUGAAAGUGAAAGUUGAGAUCCCUGUCGUGGGGAGCACCGACGCCCGGACCUGACGUUCUCUGACGGAUCCGCGGUAGAGCAUGUAUGUUGGGACCCGAAAGAUGGUGAACUAUGCCUGAAUAGGGUGAAGCCAGAGGAAACUCUGGUGGAGGCUCGUAGCGAUUCUGACGUGCAAAUCGAUCGUCAAAUUUGGGUAUAGGGGCKAAAGACUAAUCGAACCA
rnacentral:rRNA from 1 species